UACGGGGGGUGCAAGCGUUGUUCGGAUUUAUUGGGCGUAAAGCGCGUGUAGGCGGUUUGUUAAGUCUGUUGUGAAAGCCCUGGGCUCAACCCGGGAAGUGCACUGGAUACUGGCAGACUUGAAUACGGGAGAGGAGAGUGGAAUUCCUGGUGUAGGAGUGAAAUCCGUAGAUAUCAGGAGGAACACCGGUGGCGAAGGCGGCUCUCUGGACCGAUAUUGACGCUGAGGAGCGAAAGCCAGGGGAGCAAACGGG
rnacentral:rRNA from 1 species